UACGUAGGGAGCAAGCGUUGUUCGGAUUUACUGGGCGUAAAGGGCGCGUAGGCGGCUCGGUAAGUCACUUGUGAAAUCUCUGAGCUUAACUCAGAACGGCCAAGUGAUACUGCAGUGCUAGAGUGCAGAAAGGGCAAUCGGAAUUCUUGGUGUAGCGGUGAAAUGCGUAGAUAUCAAGAGGAACACCUGAGGCGAAGGCGGGUUGCUAGGCUGACACUGACGCUGAGGCGCGAAAGCCAGGGGAGCAAACGGG
rnacentral:rRNA from 1 species